rnacentral:rRNA from 1 species
UACGAAGGGGGGCUAGCGUUGCUCGGAAUCACUGGGCGUAAAGCGCACGUAGGCGGAUCUUUAAGUCAGGGGUGAAAUCCUGGAGCUCAACUCCAGAACUGCCCUUGAUACUGGGGAUCUUGAGUCCGGAAGAGGUGAGUGGAACUCCGAGUGUAGAGGUGAAAUUCGUAGAUAUUCGGAAGAACACCAGUGGCGAAGGCGGCUCACUGGUCCGGUACUGACGCUGAGGUGCGAAAGCGUGGGGAGCAAACAGG